GAAUAUUGGUCAAUGGGCGCAAGCCUGAACCAGCCAUGCCGCGUGCAGGAUGACGCAUCUAUGGUGUGUAAACUGCUUUUGUACAGGAAGAAACCCUCCAACGAGUUGGAGCUUGACAGUACUGUAAGAAUAAGGAUCGGCUAACUCCGUGCCAGCAGCCGCGGUAAUACGGAGGAUCCAAGCGUUGUCCGGACUCAUUGGGUUUAAAGGGUCCGUAGGCGGCCUUAUAAGUCAGCGGUGAAAGUUUUUGGCUUAACCAAAAAAUUGCCAUUGAUACUGUAGGGCUUGAAUGUUUGUGAAGUAACUAGAAUAUGUAGUGUAGCGGUGAAAUGCUUAGAUAUUACAUGGAAUACCAAUUGCGAAGGCAGGUUACUAACAAAUGAUUGACGCUGAUGGACGAAAGCGUGGGUAGCGAACAGG
rnacentral:rRNA from 1 species